rnacentral:rRNA from 1 species
GACGAACGCUGGCGGCGUGCUUAACACAUGCAAGUCGAACGGAAAGGCCCUGCUUUUGUGGGGUGCUCGAGGGGCGAACGGGUGAGUAACACGUGAGUAACCUGCCCUUGACUUUGGGAUAACUUCAGGAAACUGGGGCUAAUACCGGAUAGGAGCUCUUGCUGCAUGGUGGGGGUUGGAAAGUUUCGGCGGUUGGGGAUGGACUCGCGGCUUAUCAGCUUGUUGGUGGGGUAGGGGCUUACCAAGGCUUUGACGGGUAGCCGGCCUGAGAGGGUGACCGGCCCCAUUGGGACUGAGCUACGGCCCAGACUCAUACGGGAGGGAGGAGUGGGGAAUAUUACACAAUGGGAGGAAGCCUGAUGCAGCAAAGCCGCGUGCGGGAUGACGGCCUUCGGGUUGUAAACCGCUUUCGCCUGUGACGAAGCGUGAGUGACGGUAAUGGGUAAAGAAGCACCGGCUAACUACGUG